rnacentral:rRNA from 1 species
GUGCAGCAGUCGCGAAUCCUUCGCAAUGCGGGAAACCGCGACGAGGGGACUCCCAGUGCCUACGCUCAGCGUAGGCUGUUCCCGAGCCUAGAAAGCUCGGGGAGUAAGGGCUGGGUAAGACGGGUGCCAGCCGCCGCGGUAAUACCCGCAGCCCGAGUGGUGGCCACUAUUAUUGGGCCUAAAGCGUCCGUAGCCGGCCCGGUAAAUGCCUGGGUAAAUCGUGAGGCCUAACCUCACGAAUUCCGGGUAGACUGCCGGGCUAGGGACCGGAGGAGGGAGAGGGGUACUCCAGGGGUAGGGGUGAAAUCCUGUAAUCCCUGGAGGACCACCGGUGGCGAAGGCGCUCUCCUAGGACGGGUCCGACGGUGAGGGACGAAAGCCAGGGGAGCGAACCGGAUUAGAUACCCCGGUA